rnacentral:misc_RNA from 1 species
AAACAUUUAAAAAAAAAAAAAAAAGAAAUUACUGUUGCUUUGAUGAGGUGUCGCAUCUCGCCUGCAUCGCCUCUCGCCUCGCUGGCCUGAGGCGUCGCCUCUCCAAACCCUAGCCAGGCUUUCCAGUCGAGGAGACAGAGGGGCCCCUCGCCUCGCCUGGCGCCUCUCCUGGGCGCUUUCCUCGCCUUUGAUAACACUGUGAUAAGUUUAAUGUUUUGCCAUAGCUUCUGUAUCUUAGUGUAUUAUUAUUGAACCAUGCAAUUGUUGCAUACCAGAGGAGAAAGUAUAGAAUAAGGCAGUAGUAGUUUGGGUUGUUAAGGGAAUUAAUUGAGUUGUUGAAAUUGGAGGGAAAGGGAUUAGGUGGUUACAGAUCUGUUAAGAAGAUAGAAAUAACUACCUGCAAUAGCUGUGGCAGUUACUGAGCUUUUAUAUAAGCACAAUACUUCUUGUAAGGCAUUCGGGAUUCAUUAACAAGAAAUACAAUUCUCUCUCUUCUAGUCCUCUUUCUCUGUCUUGCUCUAUUUCUGUUUCUCUCCCUAAUAUUCUUCUUCUUCUUCUUGUAAAUUCUUCCAAAUUUCUCUUGUUAGGGUUAACUAUCCUAACAAUUGGUAUCAGAGCUCUUCCGUGGGGGAAUUAAGUGGGGUUUCACUGCAUUCUGGUCGCAAUAAUGACCAGAUCUAUGGUAGUUAGCGUUGAGAUGGUUAGGGUUGUGGAAUUGGAAGAAAAAUUAAAGACACUGCAGGAGAAUGUAGACGGCAAAAUUAAUAUGCUGAAUGAGAAAGUGGAAGGGAAAUUCACUAUAUUGGGAGGAAAGUUAGAGCCGUUACAGAUAAUGAUGCAUUGAGGGAGGAUUUAAAGGCUUUCAUGAGUGCAUUUGUAAAAGAAAAUGGGAAAGAAGUUGUUUCUAUAGAUGAGGAAGGGAAAGGCAAUAACGGGAAGACUAAAAGUAGGGAAUUGCUUAAUCCAAAGGAUCUGCCCAACCCAUACUGGAGGGAUCAAGGCAGUUCUGAAAGCGUUGCUAUUACUGAAGAUGUGAAUUCUUUUUUGCCAAAAAUUGAGUUGGUGACUUUUGAUGGAAAAUAACCUAGGGUUUGUUUACAGAAAUGUGUAAAAUACUUUGAGGU